rnacentral:rRNA from 1 species
GAUGAACGCUGGCGGCGUGCCUAAUACAUGCAAGUCGAGCGAACGGACGAGAAGCUUGCUUCUCUGAUGUUAGCGGCGGACGGGUGAGUAACACGUGGAUAACCUACCUAUAAGACUGGGAUAACUUCGGGAAACCGGAGCUAAUACCGGAUAAUAUUUUGAACCGCACGGUUCAAAAGUGAAAGACGGUCUUGCUGUCACUUAUAGAUGGAUCCGCGCUGCAUUAGCUAGUUGGUAAGGUAACGGCUUACCAGGGCAACGAUGCAUAGCCGACCUGAGAGGGUGAUCGGCCACACUGGAACUGAGACACGGUCCAGACUCCUACGGGAGGCAGCAGUAGGGAAUCUUCCGCAAUGGGCGAAAGCCUGACGGAGCAACGCCGCGUGAGUGAUGAAGGUCUUCGGAUCGUAAAACUCUGUUAUUAGGGAAGAACAUAUGUGCAAGUAACUGUGCACAUCUUGACGGUACCUAAUCAGAAAGCCACGGCUAACUACGUG